AAAAAAGCAGGGGCUUGUUGUUAUAAUGAACUAGUCUCUCGUAGACUUCAGGGAAAUGGAGCACAUUGUUAUUGGGUGAACCUUGGUAGGGUCUACCUGUGACCGAAGGUUCAAAAAAUGAUUUUACAUUU